rnacentral:rRNA from 1 species
AUGCCCGCCACCAUGCCGCUAACCUUGUCCCCGCCCCGCCUCCUCCUCCACCACCACCGCCACGGCCAAGCCAAGCUCCAGCAGCAGCGCUCCACCGCCGGCUUCGCGGUCCUCCCGCGCCGCGCCGCUCGGCUCCGCUGCGCCCCCGACGAGGUCGCGGCCACAGCCGCCGAGCCCGAGCAGCAGGGGGAGGAGGAGGAGUUCGUGCUCCUCGCCUCCAACCGCAGCGACUUCAACGAGGUCAUCAUGGUCAUCGACUCGCCCUCCAACCGCUACCUCGUCCUCGACCCCAGCCGGAAUGUCCACAGCAUUCUCCCCAAGAAGAGCGCCUGGACCAAUUCCUACUGGGAUGAGUUCGUCAGCCUACCUCCCGUUGUUCCACGUGGUCCUGUUGCACUUCUAGGUUUGGGUGCUGGGACAGCAGCACAUAUGAUGCUAGAAGUUUGGCCCUGGAUACAACUUAUUGGAUGGGAGAUUGAUCCGACGAUAAUUGAAUUGUCGAGGGAUUAUUUUGGUAUGUCCAAUUUAGAGAAGACCACGGAAUUAGGUGGUUCACUUUCGGUGCGUAUAGGCGAUGCACUUUCCCCAUCAGCUACAGUUGAAGGAGGAUUUGCUGGCGUUGUUGUUGAUUUAUUUGCUGAUGGAAAAGUCUUACCUCAGCUACAAGAAGCUGAAACUUGGCUAGAGAUUGCAAAAAAGCUCAUGCCAGAUGGUCGAAUCAUGGUCAACUGCGGCGGAGCAGAUACCCCCGUAUCUCUUGCUGCUGACACGGGUGUUUCGUCUUGGGUCCAGAAUCCUACAAUCAAGGCUCUGUGCUCCGCGUUCCCUGGGCAGCUAAACUGGAAGAGACUUUCGGAGAAGGAGAGUGUAAACUACGUCGCGUUGACGGGUCCCCUUCCAGACCUGGAGGAGUGGUCAACCUCGGUUCCUAGCGAGCUAAGCCCAAGAGUGAAACAAUGGGUGCCUUGCGAGCUCGCGUGA